rnacentral:rRNA from 1 species
CCUACGGGAGGCUGCAGUGAGGAAUAUUGGUCAAUGGGCUUACGCCUGAACCAGCCAAGUCGCGUGAGGGAAGACUGCCCUAUGGGUUGUAAACCUCUUUUGUCCGGGAGCAACGCCGGCUACGUGUAGCCGGCCUGAAAGUACCUACAGACAAAGCAUCGGCUAACUCCGUGCCAGCAGCCGCGGUAAUACGGAGGAUGCGAGCGUUAUCCGGAUUUAUUGGGUUUAAAGGGAGCGUAGAUGGGCUGUUAAGUCAGUUGUGAAAGCUUGCGGCUCAACCGUAAAAUUGCAAUUGAUACUGGCAGGCUUGAGUAUAGUUGAGGUAGGCGGAAUUCGUGGUGUAGCGGUGAAAUGCUUAGAGAUCACGAAGAACACCGAUUGCGAAGGCAGCUUACUAAACUGCAACUGACAUUGAUGCUCGAAAGUGUGGGUAGCAAACAGGAUUAGAUACCCGGGUAGUC